AGCGAUAUGCGGAAUCUCAGUUGC
rnacentral:siRNA from 1 species